rnacentral:rRNA from 1 species
CUCUUACGGGAGGCAGCAGUCGGGAAUAUUGGACAAUGGGCGCAAGCCUGACCCAGCAACGCCGCGUGAAGGAAGAAGGCUUUCGGGUUGUAAACUUCUUUUAGGGGGGAAGAGGAGAAGACGGUACCCCUAGAAUAAGCCACGGCUAACUACGUGCCAGCAGCCGCGGUAAUACGUAGGUGGCAAGCGUUGUCCGGAUUUACUGG